GAUGGACAACAAUUAAGUUCCUUUUUUUUUUUAAGGAGAGAUGUCCUGGGUUGUGUCACUAAACUUCCUCAAAAAAGUGAGAUGAAGAAAAAAAGGACUGAUACAAAUACUUGCACUACUUCUUCAAUUUCUCAGCUUGUCCUCACGUCAGUUUUGAAGAAUUGCCACAGAGGUUAUAAGUGGAAACACUUAUCCUGUUUAACGUUUUUUUUUUUUUGGAGUUGCUGGGUGUUUUAGAAACUUGUUUUUGCUCCAAAUACUGAAAUACAUUCAGAUUGCUUAUUGGAAAUAAACUAGAGGCUUCUUUAAUUAAAGCAUAGGAGUAAUGGACGAGAGGCUGUUUCAUCUCCUUUUAGCAAGUCUGAUUUUCUCUGGGAGAAGCAUCAGUUCUUCUGAAGGAGCCUCAGUUCUGGGACGACAAUACUGUUCUGGAUAUUAUGGAUUCUGCAUUUCUGUCAGUGAUGAAGAAAUCACAGCAGAACCAGGACUUUGUGUUGUGAUACCGUGUUCUUUCACAACUCCUUCUUACUUCAAACCUCAACAUUUGGUUUGGUUUAAAUGUGAAUAUAACCAAAGAUGUGGUGACUCUGAGAUAAUCUUCCACACCAACAAAAACACACAAAAAAACAUUAAAUCCGAAUUUAUGGGAAGAGUGUCACUCCUGGAUCCUGAUGUGAAUCAUCAGAACUGUAGCAUCAGAAUCAGUGAUCUGAGAGAGUCUGAUUCUGGAUUCUAUCAGCUCAGAGUAAAUGGAUAUAGUGAUGGGGCCUCGGAUGGAUUUACAUUUAAUAAGAGAACGUCUGUCAUUGUUGGAGGUAAGACAAACUA